rnacentral:rRNA from 1 species
GACGAACGCUGGCGGCGUGCUUAACACAUGCAAGUCGAACGGUAAGGCCCUUCGGGGUACACGAGUGGCGGACGGGUGAGUAACACGUGGGUGAUCUGCCCUGCACUUCGGGAUAAGUCUGGGAAACUGGGUCUAAUACCGGAUAGGACCACUGCCUGCAUGGGUGGUGGUGGAAAGCUUUUGCGGUGUGGGAUGGGCCCGCGGCCUAUCAGCUUGUUGGUGGGGUGAUGGCCUACCAAGGCGACGACGGGUAGCCGGCCUGAGAGGGUGACCGGCCACACUGGGACUGGGAUACGGCCCAGACUCCUACGGGAGGCAGCAGUGGGGAAUAUUGCACAAUGGGCGCAAGCCUGAUGCAGCGACGCCGCGUGAGGGAUGACGGCCUUCGGGUUGUAAACCUCUUUCAGCACCGACGAAGCGCAAGUGACGGUAGGUGCAGAAGAAGGACCGGCCAACUACGUGCCAGCCGCCGCGGUAA